GGAUGGGGGGAGGAAUUUCUCUAUCUUCACACAUUGUGUAGCCUGUCAUUUCAUCAGAAAGUAAGGACUAGAUUUGAUAAUGUCACUAUCCUCUUUCCCAUUAAACAGAAUAGCAAUAGUUGAAUAGCAAUAGGCAUGGAGCUGAAUUUAUUCAGCUGUAUCCUAUAAGGUGGCUGAGAGGAGUUUUUCUGAUGACACUGGGGUAAAUAAAAUUUAAUUUUGAAAAUCCAGGAGGAAAAAAAUGAGGGAGGGCAGUUGAAGGACUGUAAUUCAGAAACUAUAAAUGUAAUGCUGUACGUAAUUGUGUAUUUUUUUUUGACUUCCUUGAUAGACUCUUGGAAAAAUGAUAGAAAUAAAAGAUACUCCAAGGCAGGGGUGUCAAACUGCUGGCAAUCGAAAAAAAGUUGUGAUACAUUCGACACAUCAUGUGACAUUGCAAGUUUGACACCCCUGCUGCAAGGCAACGCAUUUACCCAGUAUCCAUAGCUGGGGUGCAGAAGGAAGAGGUUGCCAUUACCUUCAAUUCUUGUUGCAGACUUCAUAAACCGUCAGCAACUGUGCAGAGUUAUGAGUUUUGCUUGAUCCAGUGCAACCCAUUUACCCUGUUGUGAACUUCAGUCCUGGUUCACAGUAAUCAUAUGCAUUAUGUGAGGCCAGUUUCCUUUUGAGGAAAAGAGGGAAGCAAAGAACAGUGGGAACACAGCUGUUCUUGUUUCUCUUUGUCAUCUGACCACAUUGAACACCCCCAUGGCAUAGUGAGUGCUAUGCUUUCUUCCUUUUUCUUUCAGCAUAAAGCAGAAUUAGUUGCUAAAAGCUACUGACCUCAUGUUCUUUGUGUAUGCAUUGUAAAGGCACCUGAUUGGCUUUUAUGUGUUUGUGCUGAACUUUUAAUCACAUAUGUAAUCAGCAGCCAUUGUAUUUUGCUAUACUACAAUUAUCUGGUUAUAUUUGUAUCCACUGUACCUUUGUGUAAUUCAUAUAGGUAAGUUGUGUUGUGUUUUUGGCCAGGUCAGGUCUGGUUGGCAAAACUUUAGAUGGCAACAGAGAGUUAGGGUGUUUUAUAUCUCUUUGCUUCCAUUUACUGUCCAUACUGUCUAUAAUAGAACUUUUGCAGUUCUAGUGUUAAACCGCUACUUUGGUUUCCCAAUGUUGAAGUCGUGCUACUUCAACAUUCAACAGGGGAGUUAUAUUGUAAUGCUAAACAAAGCGGGGAGGAGGAACCCUCGUAUUUAAAAUGCUGAAACCUUUUUAAAGCAUUAAAGAUUUUAAAACAUUUUGUCGGAAGACGCAGGGCAGGUCCCCGCUCAAACGGCUUCGCUUUACGGGGUUGCUACAAAUCGAUUCCUUCCAGCAGCGGCCUCUUCCGCAGGUGUCCCGCUGUACAAAGACGGCACGCUCAGAUAUGGCCUCGCAUUGUAAUUGCUGGAGUAUUCGUAAAAGCCAAUAUUUAUUUUGAAUCGCGUCUUCCACGUGCAAAAAGGCGGAUGCUAGCAUGACCUAUCGCGGAGCUCUUAAACUACUUCCCGACGAUUUCCGAUACGCCCUCGUCAUUUCCGACAAAGGGGGUAGUGUCAGAGGAGCCGCGAAACCUUCUCGCCAGGCUUUUGUUGCCUUUGUUGCUUAAAUCUUGCCUGGGAGCCGCCGGUCCUGCGCACACGCUCACCCGCGGGUGCAGGGGAACGCUCUCCCCCCCCCCCGGCCUUUUUGUCCUUUGGCCACUGGUGACGUGGAGCUGCGCGCUUUGCUGUUUUGCUCAGCUCAGCCCAGUCGGCCGGGGCGGCGUUUGCGGGCGAGGCCUGGGCCGUUUUCAAGAAAAAGCCGAAGCGAUGAAAGUUGACGCAAAAAGGCUCUGGAAGCACAUGGAAAAAAAUAAAAUAGACAAUAUAUUUGAGUGUAUGCACAAGGCAUUGUUGUCUUUGCAGCAGAAGAUCAAAGAUGGAGCUGCAACAAGUGAAGAAUGCAAUCAAGCUUUGGCACUUGUGAAUCAGUUGGGUAUGAAUGACCUCUUACCUCUGGCGCAUGAAGAUAAGCAUAUAUGCAAUCCAGAUUUACCUCUCUCUGCUCCAGAGAAAAUUAUAGAAGAUGCUGGAGAUGACUUUUCUUUACUGGAAAUUAAUGAGGGAAUGGAUUUAAGAACUGGAGAAUCCGCAGAGACAUCUUCCAUGUUCUACCAGGAUCAUGUCUGUUCUAAGAAAUGUCUUUCCAAACGGCCAUGGGAUUCCUACAAAGGGGAAAACCCUUUGAAGUUGCCAAUGCUGUGUCACUUCCAGAGGUGGCAUGCCAAAGCAGAUUCUGGCUCAAAAUCACACGAUGUGAUAUACAAAGCUCCUUGUGGAAGAAGCCUGAGAAAUUUCAAAGACGUGCAGAAUUACUUAUUUCAAACAGAAUGCAGCUUUUUAUUUUUAGAUCACUUUUCUUUCAAUACCUAUGUGCAGUUAUUCAGAAGCAGUCUGAGUCCCCAGGCAUUUGUUAUUGAUACAGAUAUCAGCCAAGGGGCAGAGACAGUACCGGUAUCAUUCUGUAAUGAUAUCAACCAUGAUCGGCUGCCUUGUUUUAAAUAUCGGAAGGCCUCUUGGCCCCAUGGAUACUUCUUAAACAACUUCUCCAACAGUUUUCUUGAUUCCUGCAGCUGUACCGAUGGUUGCAUUGACAGGUCAAAAUGUUCGUGUCUGCUUCUCACUAAAAAGGCCUUGAAAGCUUCUAUGUCUCCAAGAAAUGGACCAUCUCACGGUUAUACUUAUAAAAGGCUGGAGGAACCUAUUUCCAGCGGAAUUUAUGAAUGCAGCUUGCUCUGCAGCUGUGACAAGAACAGGUGCCAGAACAGAUUGGUACAGCACGGCCUUCAAGUUCGCUUACAAGUGUUCAGCACUGGAAAGAAAGGCUGGGGAGUUCGCUGCCUUGAUGACAUUGACAAGGGAACAUUUGUUUGUACAUAUGCAGGGAGAUUGAUGUCCAGAGAUGAACAUUACCAGGGUAAAAAUAGUGGUGAUGUUGAAGAAGAAGUUACCAAGAAUACCAACCAGAGUUUAUUUUCAAGAAAGAGAAAACUGGGUACAGUCUGUUCUGAUUCAGAAAAUGAACUUAUUCAGGACACUGGAAGACAACAGUCUUUACAUCUGAAUGCUGAAGGUCAACCAAAUCGCAGAAUUCAGAACUACACUUCAUACAAGAAUUGGAAUGUAGAAACUAUUGCAAGACCUAAAACUAAAACAUCACUUCUUCAAAGACACCAGCAAGAACUAGGAAGUACUGAUGCCAGCUCUGAUGAAGACGAGAGUUCUUUGUGUCAUAUGUCAGGAACAAGAAGAAUAACUCCAGCAACCAAAAAAAGAGAUGAAGAAUCAAGCCUGCAAGGAGAAUUUGAGAAAUUGGUAAACACUCUAAAUUCUGAAGCUAAUACUGACUGCCAUAAAGAGAAUCUCCUUUCCAAUGCUGCAUUGAAAAGUAAACUGCCUAUGCAAGAUGGCAGAGAAGUGAAAAAACAACAUAAGAACAUUCUUGAGUCAGACAGCACAAUAAAGGGGAAAACUCAGAGAAACAGACAAGAACUUGCUUGUAUGAAUGAGGCAGCAGAAAUUGAGACAUGUCCAAAGAAUGAAGAAAAUCCUUGUUUGCUGGAUGCCACAAGGGAAGGCAAUGUAGGCAGGUUUCUUAAUCUGCUCUCCUAAUCUCUUUGUACAAAGUGUAUUUGUAGAGACGCACAACAGAAAUUUCCCCUGGGUGGCAUUCUUCACAAAGAGGUUUGUGAAAGCUGGAACUGAACUUACAUGGGAUUAUGGUUAUGAAGCUGGAAGUAUGCCUGAGACAGAGACUACCUGCCAAUGUGGGAGUCUGAAGUGUCGGAAAAAAAUCUUGUAGAGUUUUUGUAUGUGUUAAUCUAGAUUAACCUGAUGAAUAAAUAAAUAAUGUAUUUUUUUUAAAAAAAGGAUUGAUACGCAUAACCUUUUUGAAUCAAGGCACAAGUGCUUCCUAUGUGCUUCUUGGAGGGCAUAGAAUAGAAGGUGAACUCAUCAAAUUUGCAGAUGAUACUAAACUGGCAGGAGUAACCAACACUCCUGAAGACAAACUCAGAAUCCCAAAAGAUUUUGACAAACUGGAACAAUGGGCCCUAUCCAACAAAAUGAGUUUGAAUGUGGAGAAGGGCAAAGUUUUACCUUUAGGCAGGAAAAAUCAAGGAUAAAAGUACAGAUUAGGGAGACCUGGCUCAAAAACAGUAACUGUGAAAGGGACCUUGGAGUCCUAGUGGACGAUCACUUGACUAUGAGCCAGCAGUGUGCAGCAGCAGCCAAAAAAGCUAAAACAAUCCUGGCUUGUAUAAAU